UCGUUACGGAACAAAGAACGAAAGCAUAAGAGAGCUGCUGCCAUAACAAUGGCCAGACAGCUGAAAAUUUGGCUGUAAACAGCAGCCCAUAGGGCUGUUCUGCUGUCAAUAAAACAGCCCGAGGUAGCAACUUCGAGGCUAGUUUCCGACACCUUCGGGUUUGAUUUUGAGUACGAUGUCUAAACGUAAAUUGUAGAGGACGUUAUGAACUAUAGGAAUGUAAAAUUUGUUUUGGAAUAUGACCAAUUUACGUGCCCUGUUUCUAAGCCCGAAACAGUAGCUGUAGUAAACUGUUUUCAGGCCAAAACUGUCAAAUUUAAGGAACCAACUUCGGGAUCAAUUUCUGACACCUUAGGACGAUAAUUUCAGUUUAGAAUCUAAACAAAAGUUGUAGAUGGGGUUAGGUACUAUAAAGAUAUCAAAUUUGUUUGGAAGUCGGGCCAUUUUAAAUAAACAUUUUAAUAGUCCAAAGUCGGCUAAUUAGCUAGUUUUGGGAAAACUAGUUUUAAUUAACGAAAUGUGAAGUCGUUAAUUAAUUGAGUUAUAAAUUGACGUUUCGAGCUAAGAAAAACUAUAAAUUAUGGGAUUAUAAUAUUAAAAUGUAAUCAAUUUAUUCUGAGGCAAAAUAAAUUGAUUUAGUCACAAAGUAUUCUAUAGUUAGAACACCUUUGGAUUAGGAUCCAUUUUAACUACGAUUCAUUAUCGUAUUUUCGUAGACUCGGCGAGGCGACUACCAACGGAACACGGUACUUAAAGAACGCGAUAUGACCUUAGCUUUUGGAUAGAAAACUUGUUAUGUUUCAGGUGUAUAGUAUCAGAUGUAACGGACUUCUAUCCUUGUUCCAGAAGUCCGCGAGUACAGAAAGAAGGAACCAAUCAGUAGUGCUGCAGUAGUCGAGUCCUAGAGUGUAAUUAUGUUUUGUCAAACGGUUUUAAAUAUUUUGUUUAUACUCUGAUAUGUAUAAAGGCUUUAUACUGCGCUUUUAAACCGUUUACAUAUAUGUGAGAAACAGGGCAUUGCUUGAUAUGAGAUAUCGCUUUGUAAGACCCUGAUUUCUAAA